rnacentral:tRNA from 1 species
UUAGGGAGACCUACCCACUCUUAAGCUGAACGCACACUGUUAUUAAGCAAGAGUCGGUCAUCCCGAGGUCGUUCGAGUUUAGAUGUUGGUUUUCAAACUAUUUAGGUUCGGUUUUAUGGGCUAUUAGCUCAGGUGGUUAGAGCGCACCCCUGAUAAGGGUGAGGUCCCUGGUUCGAGUCCAGGAUGGCCCACCUUGAGGAGGAGUUCUGAGUUAAGAGUUCUUAGAUUUGAGAUAAGAGUUUUGAUUAAGCUCCCUCAGGAUCUAAGGACCAAGGCUUGAAACUCUUUAUUUGGGGGUUUAGCUCAGUUGGUAGAGCGCCUGCUUUGCAAGCAGGAUGUCAGCGGUUCGAGUCCGCUAACCUCCACUGGGUAAUAGCAAAUUGUUAUUAGCCAAAUUGCGGAGAGUUCAGCAACUUAUCUAACCAAUUCAUCAAGUUAGAGAGCCUGCUGGAGUAAUCCAGUCAGAACCUUGAAAACUGCAUAGUAUUUGUCAGGUAGAAAGCUAGGUGACAGGUAAUAGGGAACAGGUGGUAGGAAAAACUUAUAGCCUAAUCCUUAGAACUUGCAGCUUAGUAAUCACAGACACCAAUGUGCAACUUGAGAAAGUUGUUGUAAGU